rnacentral:miRNA from 1 species
CAGCAGACACAUUCCAGCCAAUCAGCAGCAGACCCUCCCUCCCACCUCCUGGACAGCAUCCAUUUUGAAGCUGCAUUCUUAGUGAGCUGUCCAGGAGGUGGGAGGGUAGGGGAGGGAGGGUCUGCUGCUGAUUGGCUGGAAUGUGUCUGCUA